rnacentral:rRNA from 1 species
CCUACGGGAGGCAGCAGUGGGGGAUAUUGCACAAUGGGGGGAACCCUGAUGCAGCGACGCCGCGUGGGUGAAGAAGGGCCUCGGCGCGUAAAGCCCUGUCAGCAGGGAAGAAAAGGACGGUACGUGAAGAAGAAGCCCCGGCGAACGACGUGCCAGCAGCCGCGGUAAUACGGAGGGGGCAAGCGUUAUCCGGAUUUACUGGGUGUACAGGGGGCGCAGACGGCGCUGCAAGCCAGGAGUGAAAGCCCGGGGCCCAACCCCGGGACUGCUCUUGGAACUGCGUGGCUGGAGUGCAGGAGGGGCAGGCGGACUUCCUGGUGUAGCGGUGAACUGCGUAGAUCUCAGGAGGAACCCCGGUGGCGAAGGCGGCCUGCUGGACUGCAACUGACGUUGAGGCCCGAAAGCGUGGGGAGCAAACAGGAUUAGAUACCCUUGUAGUC